rnacentral:rRNA from 1 species
CAAUAGAUACCCAGGUAGUCCCAGCCGUAAACCGAUGCUCGCUAGGUGUCAGGCAGUGGCGCGACCGUGUCUGGUGCCGCAGGGAAGCCGUGAAGCGAGCCACCUGGGAAGUACGGCCGCAAGGCUGAAACUUAAAGGAAUUGGCGGGGGGAGCACAACAACGGGGUGGAGCCUGCGGUUUAAUUGGACUCAACGCCGGACAACUCACCGGGGACGACAGCAAAAUGUAGGCCAGGCUGAAGACCUUGCCUGAAUCGCUGAGAGGAGGUGCAUGGCCGUCGCCAGUUUGUACUGUGAAGCAUCCUGUUAAGUCAGGCAACGAGCGAGACCCGUGCCCACUGUUACCAGCAUAUCCUCCGGGAUGAUGGGUACUCUGUGGGGACCGCCGGUGUUAAAUCGGAGGAAGGUGCGGGCCACGGUAGGUCAGUAUGCCCCGAAUUUCCCGGGCUACACGCGGGCUACAAUGAAUGGGACAAUGGGUCCCUCCCCUGAAAAGGGCUGGUAAUCUCACAAACCCAUCCUUAGUUCGGAUCGAGGGCUGUAACUCGUCCCG